UACGUAGGGUGCGAGCGUUGUCCGGAAUUAUUGGGCGUAAAGAGCUCGUAGGCGGUUUGUCGCGUCUGCUGUGAAAACCUAAGGCUCAACCUUGGGCUUGCAGUCGAUACGAGCAAACUAGAGUGUUGCAGGGGAGACUGGAAUUCCUGGUGUAGCGGUGAAAUGCGCAGAUAUCAGGAGGAACACCGGUGGCGAAGGCGGGUCUCUGGGCCGUAACUGACGCUGGAGGAGCGAAAGCAUGGGGAGCGAACAGG
rnacentral:rRNA from 1 species